rnacentral:rRNA from 1 species
AUUGAACGCUGGCGGCAUGCCUUACACAUGCAAGUCGAACGGUAACAGGUCUUCGGAUGCUGACGAGUGGCGAACGGGUGAGUAAUGCAUCGGAACGUGCCCAGUAGUGGGGGAUAGCCCGGCGAAAGCCGGAUUAAUACCGCAUACGACCUGAGGGUGAAAGGGGGGGAUCGCAAGACCUCUCGCUAUUGGAGCGGCCGAUGUCAGAUUAGCUAGUUGGUGGGGUAAAGGCCUACCAAGGCAACGAUCUGUAGUUGGUCUGAGAGGACGACCAGCCAAACUGGGACUGAGACACGGCCCAGACUCCUACGGGAGGCAGCAGUGGGGAAUUUUGGACAAUGGGCGCAAGCCUGAUCCAGCAAUGCCGCGUGCAGGAAGAAGGCCUUCGGGUUGUAAACUGCUUUUGUCAGGGAAGAAAUCUUCUGGGUUAAUACCUCGGGAGGAUGACGGUACCUGAAGAGUAAGCACCGGCUAACUACGUGCCAGCCGCCGCCGUAAAAC